AUACGUAGGGGGCGAGCGUUGUCCGGAAUGAUUGGGCGUAAAGGGCGCGUAGGCGGCCCGGUAAGUCUGGAGUGAAAGUCCUGUUUUUAAGAUGGGAAUUGCUUUGGAUACUGUCGGGCUUGAGUGCAGGAGAGGUAAGUGGAAUUCCCAGUGUAGCGGUGAAAUGCGUAGAGAUUGGGAGGAACACCAGUGGCGAAGGCGACUUACUGGACUGUAACUGACGCUGAGGCGCGAAAGUGUGGGGAGCAAACAGGAUUAGAUACCCGAGUAGUCCACGCCGUAAACGAUGAGUACUAAGUGUCGGGUAACCGGUGCUGAAGUUAACACAUUAAGUACUCCGCCUGAGGAGUACGGUCGCAAGGCUGAAACUCAAAUGAAUUGACGGGG
rnacentral:rRNA from 1 species